rnacentral:lncRNA from 13 species
AUGGAAAGGAGGGUGACCUGGGACGGGGUAACUGCUGCAAAGCAGGAAACGGGCAGGGCGGGCUGUGCGUGUGCUGGGGUUGCAGGGACCCUGUGGAGGAAGAAAGGAGCUGGAGGUGUGCCGGCAAGUGCAGAGGCUGAGGGAGCCUGCGUGGCAGGAGUGCAGGUGGAUGCCAGGGAUUGGGGCACAGCAGCCACCAUGGGGAGGCACAGACGGUGCUGUGCCUUACCCUGUUCAUGGCACCCGCCACGGCUGGCAGCCUCUGCCCUGGCUUCCAUCUACCUAAGGACAGCAGCUGGGAGGGGAGGACCCUGUCCAGUUCUCGGCCACAACUCAAAGUCCAGCUCAGCUGGUCAGUCAGCAUCGGUGGAAGGAGAUGACGGAGCUGCCACAACUCCCCAUCACGGGGCUCCCGGCGCAGCCUCCCCAGUCUAGGCAGAGACAGAAGAACGUCGAAUGAGAGCAAAUGAGAGCGCAAUUAGGGUCUUGUCUGGUUGUCUGCUGCCCACGAAGAACUCUGCUGUCCAGGCGCUGCUUGGCUUCCUAUCCCAGCAGACUGCAGCGUUAGGGCCUUUUCCACCUCCUUGUGGCUGGCACCGUGAGCACCUGAGACAGACUGAAGCCUCCCUAAGAGACUGAAGAGAGGAACGGGUGUCGGAUACUCAGGCAUGGAGACCCACGAAGGCAAGCUUGUGAGUGGCGCAGCCUUGUUGGCCUACACACUUUGGUUUGAUGCCACUCAGGUGCCAAAUGAGAACCUGUGCUGAGAUGCGAAUACACUAAGAGAACGUUUUCCUGAAAAACAGACGAAGCAAGAAGUGAACGUGGUGGGUUCGCAGCCAAGAGGGAGCCACCUUCGCGUCAGUGGGCCCUUGUGGUGGGGCCUUGGUGUCCAGGGCGAUCCCGGAUGCUGCACGCAGGCCGCCCAUCCACAGCUUCUCCCUCCCCAAGCGCAGCCUGGCCAUGAAGUCCUCUGGCCAUGUUCCCAGGCACGGACCCAGGCUCCCCUCAGCCCAGUGCCCUGCUGACACCUGGGGUCUCACCUUGGGGUCCUGGGGACCCCAUUUUCAUCAGAACUCCUCUCCAGACAGGUCCCGGAGGACCCUGCCCCUGUGCCCAGCGUGCCCCCCCCUCCCCCGGACCUGGCAGUUCCCGCUGUACUGACGUCAUUGUCCUCAGACUCUGCUCUUCUCUGGGAUGUGGGCCCUGAGGUCCUGCCCUCCCGUCAUCCACCUGCAGGGGGCUCUGGGGGCUUCUCCACCAGCCGCAUUCAAUUGCCUUAGAAACAGUCAGGAUUCUGCUCAGAGGUGCAGGUGAGCGGAAGGGGGACAGGGGACGACUCCCCUCCUUCCACCCCCAAUCACUGGGCU